GAGGGUAUAGUUCAGGGUUAGAGUGCUUGCUUUGCAAGCAGGAGGUCCUGGGUUCAAUCCCCAGUACUUACA